rnacentral:misc_RNA from 1 species
CACCUAUGUAACAAUUUUUCUGUGGUAUUAUUUUUUUUUUUUAUCAAGGGUAUUAAAUUCAGCGAAUUCUUAUUGUGCCGUGUUGAUAUUUGAAUUUUUUGCUUAACUGAUCACCCAUGACAAUCUAACUCCAACUAGCACAUCCAAAUUCUAGACACCCAUGGCGUCUGUGUACUGUACAUAUAAAGAGAGAACGAGAGAUGUGAAGCCAUAAUUUCUCAACAUAUCUAAAGGUAAAAACAAAA